rnacentral:lncRNA from 1 species
GUCGAAAAUAAAAUAGAAAUACAUGUCGAAAAUGUCGUACAAUCAAGAUCCAAAAUGUAGUAAGAUCGUUAAAAUAAAAUACUAACUAUAGUACUACAACAAAAUAAUAAUAAACUACUAUUGUGUGUGUCUGACAACCUCUCAUCCACCUCAUUUUCCUGCUCUACCUCCUCGACCAUCAAUCCCUUUGUCCUCCGGUGAUGUCUCCGGUACAACAAUGCCUAAUGUGCCUCCGCCAUGAUGGCAUCUAGAACUCACCUAACACCAAACCCGUCA